rnacentral:rRNA from 1 species
UACGAAGGGGGCUAGCGUUGCUCGGAAUCACUGGGCGUAAAGGGUGCGUAGGCGGGUCUUUAAGUCAGGGGUGAAAUCCUGGAGCUCAACUCCAGAACUGCCUUUGAUACUGAAGAUCUUGAGUUCGGGAGAGGUGAGUGGAACUGCGAGUGUAGAGGUGAAAUUCGUAGAUAUUCGCAAGAACACCAGUGGCGAAGGCGGCUCACUGGCCCGAUACUGACGCUGAGGCACGAAAGCGUGGGGAAGCAAACAGGGG